UUUCCGUAGGUGAACCUGCGGAAGGAUCAUUCAUAAUAAGUGUUUUAUGGCACUUUUUUAAAUCCAUAUCCACCUUGUGUGCAAUGUCAGGGUUGGUCUCUUUUGAUCAGCCCCAAACAUCAGCUAUUAUCUCAACUCUUUGUCUGAAAAAUAUUAUGAAUAAAACAAUUCAAAAUACAACUUUCAACAACGGAUCUCUUGGCUCUC
rnacentral:misc_RNA from 1 species